AAGCUGCUUCCUCUUGUCUGGUUCCUCUUUCACUGGGAGAAGAGUCCGACGCCCAAACCUGGCUCCACCCUCCUCUCAGGGAGGUGUAGAGAGCAAGGUGGUCUUCCUUCAGCUUCCUUUCCUCCAGGUUUUAUGCUGCCAGAAAAGUACUGGGUCACUCCUAAGAAUCACAUUUGUGGCUUUUAAGGACAGAAGGUGACAACCCCAUCCCUCCCACCAGCAGCCGUAGCAGGAAAAACCCUGUGGCUGCUUCCUCCUCCAGCACAGUCAGGUGCCAGCAGACACAGCCCUACACUUGUGUAGACAAGUACUGCAGAUGUAUAACAACCUUGCAGCAAUAAUUAAUAACCUUGUGAGGAAGGGUGCUCAGGGCCCCCUCAGGCAGCACACAGCCUGCAGUGGAAUGGGUUACAACAAGGGAAGCCACGAGGCUCCUCAUCUUUCUGCCAUGGCUGUGCUUUAGGGAACAGAAUAACGUCCUGAAUAAAGAAAGUGGGAAUGUGGAGUAGGUGCAAGACCCCAGACAAGAGGUGAAGACUUCUUUCUUCUGGAAUGAAAAAUUUCAAGGAAAUAUCUUCCAGUUUGGUCAAAAGUAUCUGCCAUGUGUGCAAAGGAUUUGAAACAGAGUCAUCAUCCCAGGAGGAAGUUGUCAUGUUGUGAUGCAGCUCUGUGAGUGGACCUGUCUUUGAUGGCUGUGGUGUCUUAUCUCCCGUGAGUUAGCAUCAGAUGAAGCUUGCUGACAGCAUAAUGGCAGGGAAAACCUCCGACGGCUCCAUCAAAUGGCAGCUCUGCUACGACAUCUCGGCCAGAACUUGGUGGAUGGUGAGUUGGCAGCAGGGCUGCUUUUUUUUUUCUCCCUUUUCUACUUUCCCUCCCUCUUUGACAAAAUGUCCCAGACCUCACAUUUAUCAAAUUAACAUUUGAUUUUUUUCACACUCUUCAGUAGAGCAGCCUCACACUUGCCCCACUUGUGUGCUUUCCCCU